rnacentral:rRNA from 1 species
CAGUCGAACGGAUUCCAUGUUGUAGCAAUACAACGGAAGAAUUAGUGGCGAACGGGUGAGGAACACGUGAGAAACCUGCCCCGAACUUCGGGAUAACAGUUGGAAACGACUGCUAAUACCGAAUACCUCUGCGAAGUGGCAUCACUUUGCAAAGAAAGAAUUUCGGUUCGGGAGGGUCUCGCGGCCUAUCAGCUAGUUGGUGAGGUAAUGGCUCACCAAGGCAUCGACGGGUAGCUGGUCUGAGAGGAUGAUCAGCCACACUGGGACUGAGACACGGCCCAGACUCCUACGGGAGGCAGCAGUGGGGGAUCUUGUGCAAUGGGCGCAAGCCUGACACAGCAACGCCGCGUGCGGGAAGAAGGCCUUCGGGUCGUAAACCGCUUUCAGCAGGAACGAAAAUGACGGUACCUGCAGAAGAAGGUGCGGCCAACUACGUGCCAGCAGCCGCGGUGACACGUAGGCACCAAGCGUUGUCCGGAUUUAUUGGGCGUAAAGAGCUCGUAGGCGGUUCAGCAAGUCGGGUGUGAAAACUCUGGGCUUAACCCAGAGCCUGCACCCGAAACUGCUGUGACUAGAGUUCGGUAGGGGAGCGGGGAAUUCCUAGUGUAGCGGUGAAAUGCGCAGAUAUUAGGAGGAACACCGGUGGCGAAGGCGCCGCUCUGGGCCGAAACUGACGCUGAGAAGCGAAAGCGUGGGUAGCAAACAGGAUUAGAUACCCUGGUAGUCCACGCCGUAAACGUUGGGCACUAGGUGUGGGUCUCUAACCAACGAGAUCCGCGCCGUAGCUAACGCAUUAAGUGCCCCGCCUGGGGAGUACGGUCGCAAGACUAAAACUCAAAGGAAUUGACGG